AGAAUCAACGCUGGCGGCGUGCCUAACACAUGCAAGUCGCACGAGAAAGGGACUUCGGUCCUGAGUACAGUGGCGCACGGGUGAGUAACACGUGAAUAAUCUACCUUCGAGUGGGGAAUAACUGAGAGAAAUCUUAGCUAAUACCGCAUAAUACCUACGGGUCAAAGCAGCAAUGCGCUUGAAGAGGAGUUCGCGGCAGAUUAGUUAGUUGGCGGGGUAAUGGCCCACCAAGACGAUGAUCUGUA
rnacentral:rRNA from 1 species